rnacentral:rRNA from 1 species
ACUCCUACGGGAGGCAGCAGUGGGGAAUAUUGCACAAUGGGCGCAAGCCUGAUGCAGCCAUGCCGCGUGUGGUUGGAAGAAGGCCUUCGGGUUGUAAAGCACUUUCAGUCGUGAGGAAGGUAGUGUNGGUUUUAAAAUUAANCUGGCCAAUUUUAAUUUUUGGACGGUUUAAGCGGACCNGAAAAGGAAAGGAACCCGGGGCCUAACUCCGUGCCAGCAGCCGCGGUAAUACGGAGGGUGCGAGCGUUAAUCGGAAUUACUGGGCGUAAAGCGCAUGCAGGUGGUUUGUUAAGUCAGAUGUGAAAGCCC